ACGAACGCUGGCGGCGUGCUUAACACAUGCCAGUCGCACGGAAAGGCCCUGCUUGCCGGGUACUCGAGUGGCGAACGGGUGAGUAACACGUGGGUGAUCUGCCCUGCACUUCGGGAUAAGCCUGGGAAACUGGGUCUAAUACCGGAUAGGAGCCAUUUUUAGUGUGAUGGUUGGAAAGUUUUUUCGGUGUAGGAUGAGCUCGCGGCCUAUCAGCUUGUUGGUGGGGUAAUGGCCUACCAAGGCGGCGACGGGUAGCCGGCCUGAGAGGGUGGACGGCCACAUUGGGACUGAGAUACGGCCCAGACUCCUACGGGAGGCAGCAGUGGGGAAUAUUGCACAAUGGGCGCAAGCCUGAUGCAGCGACGCCGCGGGGGGGAUGACGGCCUUCGGGUUGUAAACUCCUUUCGCUAGGGACGAAGCUUUUUGUGACGGUACCUAGAGAAGAAGCACCGGCUAACUACGUG
rnacentral:rRNA from 1 species